CCCCCCCCCCCCCCCCCCCCCCCCCCCCCCCCCCCCCCCCCCCCCCCCCCCCCCCCCCCCCCCCCCCCCCCCCCCCCCCCCCCCCCCCCCCCCCAGCCCUGGAGGGGGCUGCCGGGGGGUGAGGGCAGUGCCGUCGGGGUGUCAGGGCAGGAAUUGACACGGGGUCAGCAAAGGAGGACGUGCCCCGUGACGCCUCUCAGGCUUGGCCCAAUGUCUCCCUGGCUUGAGGGCUACGCCGUCUCGCAGGCUCAGUGCUGCUCGUUGGGACUGGGGUGCUGCUGUUGUCCCAGGCAGGCUCCAAAACUCCUCCUCAGGCUCAGCGGGCAGCAGCUGCAGCACGGUGCAUCACCCCUUCCCUUGCAGACCUGGCACUUUUCUGGUGCCUCAGGGUCCCCUGCACACGGCUGGUAUCCCUAAUCCUCAGCCGGGUCGGUGUCCGGCAGGCGUCAGCGCAAACCUGUGCCCCGGCGCCAUCCACGAGCGAACCGGAGCGAGACCGGCCCGGGCACGUGCUCCUCGCCGCCGCUGUGGCUGUGCCGGGCCACGACUCCCCGAGUGACUCGGUGCCAGCACCAGGUGUGGAGCUGCCUCCUCCAGCACAGCGGGCCGUGGCCGCGCCGGAGCCACGCUGCCGCUUCUCCACGGAGAAGGCGGAGCGGUGAGGCCACAGCCAGGGCCCCGGAGCACCCCGGCCCGGCGGCCACGGUGACCUUGAGCCGUGCCCCUUUGUCCCUCCGGCUGCUCGGGGCCCGGUGCGUCCCCGCCGUGGGGCGGUGACCGGGGUCCCGCGAGGGAUUCGGGGCGGCGUCACCCGGGGCAGGUGCUCGGGAGCGACAGCGGCUAAAAAUAGGCAGCGGGGGUGUGACGGACGGGCCUUUGUGCCACCGAUCACCGGGGCUGGGCUGGCCGCGGCCGGACACCCCCAGGCUGGCUGCCGGCGCUGCCGGGAAGAGCUCCGGGGGUGGCGUGGAGGCUGACUGAGGAAGAAGAGGGGAAGGACAGGGAGGACGGGUCCGGUGGGUGCUGUCCUCGGGGACGGACGGGGCUGGGGACCCCCAGGCGGACACGAGUCCCGUCCCCGAAACUCAGCCCGGCCCCGCUCCCGGCGGCACGUGGCACCGGCGGCCCUCAGAAAGGACCGGGCACGGAGGCGGCGGGGCCCAAACGGGCCCUGGUUCCGCUGAACGGGGGGAAACGGCCGCCCCCAGCAUGGAGAAGCGAGCCUGGGUCGGGCCGGCCUGGCCCCUCUGCCGUCCGGACCCCG
rnacentral:lncRNA from 1 species